rnacentral:rRNA from 1 species
UUCCUACGGGUGGCAGCAGUGGGGAAUAUUGCACAAUGGGCGCAAGCCUGAUGCAGCGACGCCGCGUGAGGGAUGACGGCCUUCGGGUUGUAAACCUCUUUCAGUACCGACGAAGCGUCAGUGACGGUAGGUACAGAAGAAGCACCGGCCAACUACGUGCCAGCCGCCGCGGUAAUACGUAGGGUGCGAGCGUUGUCCGGAAUUACUGGGCGUAAAGAGCUCGUAGGUGGUUUGUCGCGUUGUUCGUGAAAACUCACAGCUUAACUGUGGGCGGGCGGGCGAUACGGGCAGACUUGAGUACUGCAGGGGAGACUGGAAUUCCUGGUGUAGCGGUGGAAUGCGCAGAUAUCAGGAGGAACACCGGUGGCGAAGGCGGGUCUCUGGGCAGUAACUGACGCUGAGGAGCGAAAGCGUGGGGAGCGAACAGGAUUAGAUACCCCAGUAGUCAC